rnacentral:rRNA from 1 species
UACGAAGGGGGGCUAGCGUUGCUCGGAAUCACUGGGCGUAAAGGGUGCGUAGGCGGGUCUUUAAGUCAGGGGUGAAAUCCUGGAGCUCAACUCCAGAACUGCCUUUGAUACUGAAGAUCUUGAGUUCGGGAGAGGUGAGUGGAACUGCGAGUGUAGAGGUGAAAUUCGUAGAUAUUCGCAAGAACACCAGUGGCGAAGGCGGAGCUCGACUGGCCCGAGUACC